rnacentral:rRNA from 1 species
UACGUAGGGGCCUAGCGUUGUCCGGAAUUAUUGGGCGUAAAGAGCUCGUAGGCGGUUUGUCGCGUCGAAUGUGAAAACCCGGGGCUCAACCCCGGGCCUGCAUUCGAUACGGGCAGACUAGAGUUCGGUAGGGGAGUCUGGAAUUCCUGGUGUAGCGGUGAAAUGCGCAGAUAUCAGGAGGAACACCGGUGGCGAAGGCGGGACUCUGGGCCGAUACUGACGCUGAGGAGCGAAAGCGUGGGGAGCAAACAGGA